CAGCAAUGUGUUUGGAAAGGUUACCUCCUUCUCUACAAUUGCUCAUGGCUUUAUGUCUCCCUGGAGACGUUGCAGAUCUGGGAGAGGAAGGGCUUCUCUGAGCAAAGCUCUAGUGACUCCGUAACUGCAGGUGUCAUUUUAUAGCUUCUUCUCAGAAUGAGAUCAUGCUAUCAGGAAGACAAUUCUGCUCACCUUGGUUAUGCUUCACUGCUUGCAGAGCUGUGCUGCUUCUGAGUGCAUCUUUAUUUAUUUGUUCUACAUUUGCAAAGAACUUUCUCAAUCCCCUGAAAUCCUGACUGUCCCCUCUCAUCCCAGGCUCAUCAUUUGUUCAUUCAACACAUUGCUGGGAAUGAUGAUAUGGAGCAGGCUUCUUAAAAGCUGAAGCUUGGGGAUAUUUGCUUUGCUCCCUCAGGAAAACACGGAGACUUGCAAAGCGUGUUUUUAUCGAGACAUCCUACCUUGAAAGAGGACAUGAUUAAAAAGGGAAAAGAAGCUGGAACGCUGACUUAGAAGCAUCCUUAUGACUCCAGAGGAGUCCAGAAGUGUUACAGGAUCUGCGAUUAAGCUUUCGUGCCGGGGCUUUGGAAAAUGAUCAUCUUGCUCUGCCCCAGAUACCCUCUGCAAACUGAAGCAAAUCCUUGUAAGACAGGGAAAACUCUCCAAAGCAAAGAGCGUUGAGGUAUGCAUCUGUGGACCUCAGCCCUGAAGGAGUUUGUUGCCUCAUUAACUCUCCGGGCUGUGACUGAACUACAGAGUAGAAACAAGGGGUAAGGCCGACAGUAAAGGGAUCAAGAGGUAAGUGCUAGUACAAGAGGACGUUAUGUCUCUGUGGAAUUUGGGGUGAAACCUGGAUUUCCUGUUACCCUAACAGUGGGGUGCCCUCCAUGGAUCUGUAGGUGCUAAAGGGACUGGGUGACGAGACAUACUCCAGAGAUGGUGUCACAUGUACAGAGGGCCCUUCAACACGAGACCGACUUUGCUCUCAACCCAUUCCAGCUACACACAAAUACUUACAGGGCCAAAGAAACUUCUACGUUUUAACUGGAGUUGGUCCAAGUUACAGAGUUUCUCUCCCAAUCAAACUGUUCUUAGAUCAGAAGUUGGCUUUGAUUAGCCUUCUGCCUGAAAGUUGCUUUACAGGCUUUGGAAAAAGCUGGGUUCUUUCUUGGAUAAAAUUCAGGGUCGUUGUUUGGAGAAAUCACUUUUCUCCGACUGUUUUAUAGAAGAAAAGUUAUUCCUUCACCUGAACUUUUUAAAUGUUGCAAUGUAGGGCAAAUUCCCAAAUUUGAAAAUGUUUGAUACCUUUUU